rnacentral:rRNA from 1 species
CAGGUCUUCAUUUGCAUAACAAUUAUCAUCACAGAUGGAAUGUUCAACUUCCUUACGGUCAUUAUUGCAUCUUGUAUUGACAUUAAGCACAAGCGGCAAGAUAUUGAUUCAGGGUUGAGUAAUUACAUGAAAAAAUACCCUAGCCUUAACUAUGAUGAUCGUAAGAGGAUUGAGGUAUUUCUUCAAAAUAAAAUCCCUUUAACCAUAUCAGUGGGAGGAUACAUUGCAAGUGCUACAAUCUCAGUAGUCGUUAUCCCAUGGUUGUUCGAUCAGAUUAAAUUCUAUCAUGUUGCCACAUUAUAUAUUAUCACGCCGGUCAUUGCGUUUGCAAACACUUAUGCAAAUGGACUUACAGAUUGGUCAGUUGGAUAUACUUAUGGCAAGUUUACAAUAUUUGUUGUUGCGGCAUGGAUUGUGAAACCGGGUGCAAUUGUUGCUGGCCUUGUAGCUUGUGGGAUAAUGAUAGCAGCUCUGCACAUUUCUUCACAAGCUACACAAGACAUCAAGACAGCUUUCAUGACACUAACCUCGGAAAGAGCUAUGGUAAUUGGGCAAAUUGUUGGUGUAGUUAUUGGCUCUAUUGUUAGCCCAUGUAUAUUUCUUGCCUUUCAAAAAAGUGAAAAGCCUGGGGUUACUAUUGGAUCUGCUCAAUCACAUUACCCAUGUCCUUUUGCUGGACUCUUUCGUUCCAUCGGUGUGAUUGGCAUUGGAGGAGUGAAGGAGCUCCCUAAGUAUUGUCUUACAAUGUGCUUUGCUGCAUUUUGCAUAAAAAUUGUCACAGAUAUACUUUCAUUGGUAUCUCAGGGAAAAGGUUGGAGAAUGCACAAGUAUCUUCCUAAUAUGACAGUGGUAGCACUACCAUUCUUUGCAGGGCCCGAUUUCCCCAUAGAUAUGUGCCUAGGUACUGCGGUAAUGUAUCUAUGGACUAAAAUGAAUAAAAGAAGUUCAACUUUGUUGUCAUCGGCAGUUGCAGCAGGCCUUAUAUGUGGAGAGGGACUAUUUGCAUUGCCAUCAGUAGUACUCACUACGUUCAGUAUACAACCACCAAUGUGCAUGAAGUUUUUUCAUAGUGGAAAAGAAGUUGAUGUGGUUGAAUCAUUCUUAAAUAAGUUGGGAACACCCACAAAG